rnacentral:rRNA from 1 species
AUUGAACGCUGGCGGCAGGCCUAACACAUGCAAGUCGAGCGGUAGAGAGAAGCUUGCUUCUCUUGAGAGCGGCGGACGGGUGAGUAAUGCCUAGGAAUCUGCCUGGUAGUGGGGGAUAACGUUCGGAAACGGACGCUAAUACCGCAUACGUCCUACGGGAGAAAGCAGGGGACCUUCGGGCCUUGCGCUAUCAGAUGAGCCUAGGUCGGAUUAGCUAGUUGGUGAGGUAAUGGCUCACCAAGGCGACGAUCCGUAACUGGUCUGAGAGGAUGAUCAGUCACACUGGAACUGAGACACGGUCCAGACUCCUACGGGAGGCAGCAGUGGGGAAUAUUGGACAAUGGGCGAAAGCCUGAUCCAGCCAUGCCGCGUGUGUGAAGAAGGUCUUCGGAUUGUAAAGCACUUUAAGUUGGGAGGAAGGGUUGUAGAUUAAUACUCUGCAAUUUUGACGUUACCGACAGAAUAAGCACCGGCUAACUCUGUGCCAGCAGCCGCGGUAAUACAGAGGGUGCAAGCGUUAAUCGGAAUUACUGGGCGUAAAGCGCGCGUAGGUGGUUUGUUAAGUUGGAUGUGAAAUCCCCGGGCUCAACCUGGGAACUGCAUUCAAAACUGACUGACUAGAGUAUGGUAGAGGGUGGUGGAAUUUCCUGUGUAGCGGUGAAAUGCGUAGAUAUAGGAAGGAACACCAGUGGCGAAGGCGACCACCUGGACUAAUACUGACACUGAGGUGCGAAAGCGUGGGGAGCAAACAGGAUUAGAUACCCUGGUAGUCCACGCCGUAAACGAUGUCAACUAGCCGUUGGAAGCCUUGAGCUUUUAGUGGCGCAGCUAACGCAUUAAGUUGACCGCCUGGGGAGUACGGCCGCAAGGUUAAAACUCAAAUGAAUUGACGGGGGCCCGCACAAGCGGUGGAGCAUGUGGUUUAAUUCGAAGCAACGCGAAGAACCUUACCAGGCCUUGACAUCCAAUGAACUUUCUAGAGAUAGAUUGGUGCCUUCGGGAACAUUGAGACAGGUGCUGCAUGGCUGUCGUCAGCUCGUGUCGUGAGAUGUUGGGUUAAGUCCCGUAACGAGCGCAACCCUUGUCCUUAGUUACCAGCACGUCAUGGUGGGCACUCUAAGGAGACUGCCGGUGACAAACCGGAGGAAGGUGGGGAUGGCGUCAAGUCAUCAUGGCCCUUACGGCCUGGGCUACACACGUGCUACAAUGGUCGGUACAGAGGGUUGCCAAGCCGCGAGGUGGAGCUAAUCCCAUAAAACCGAUCGUAGUCCGGAUCGCAGUCUGCAACUCGACUGCGUGAAGUCGGAAUCGCUAGUAAUCGCGAAUCAGAAUGUCGCGGUGAAUACGUUCCCGGGCCU